UACGGCUGCCGUAGGCCCUGAAAGGAAGUGGCGGGCUCGCUACAACUCCGAGCGUAGUAAUUCAUUAUCUCGCUAGGGAGGUUGCGGCGUGCUCCUGCCGUUAAAGACCCAUCUUUAACCAAGGUUGACCUCGGAUCAGGUAGGAAUACCCGCUGAACUUAAGCAUAUCAAUAAGCGGAGGAAAAGAAACCAACAGGGAUUGCCCUAGUAACGGCGAGUGAAGCGGCAACAGCUCAAAUUUGAAAUCUGGCUUCGGCCCGAGUUGUAAUUUGUAGAGGAUGCUUUUGGUGAGGUGCCUUCUGAGUUCCCUGGAACGGGACGCCAGAGAGGGUGAGAGCCCCGUAUAGUCGGCCACCGAUCCUUUGUAAAGCUCCUUCGACGAGUCGAGUAGUUUGGGAAUGCUGCUCAAAAUGGGAGGUAUAUCUCUUCUAAAGCUAAAUAUAGGCCAGAGACCGAUAGCGCACAAGUAGAGUGAUCGAAAGAUGAAAAGCACUUUGAAAAGAGGGUUAAAUAGCACGUGAAAUUGUUGAAAGGGAAGCGCUUGUGACCAGACUUGUGCCGGGCUGAUCAUCCAGUGUUCUCACUGGUGCACUCGACCCGGCUCAGGC
rnacentral:rRNA from 1 species